CAUUUCUGAAGAUGAGCAGCCACCACAUGUGACAACAGCAAGCUGAUGCAGGCCGGCCCACAUUUUGGAGCUAAAGGUGCCGUAUGUAAUAAUGUGGCCAGAAAUGGUACUGCAAUCAGGGUCAACAUUCUGUAGGCCCCUCUCACUCUCUAUGACUGAGGUUGCCAGAUACACAGCCCAAUCCCAAUCCUAAACCAAGGAACUUCAAACUCGACGAGUCCUACGCUUGGCACUACUGGUGAGGAUUUUCUUUUCCUGGACGGGCGAAAUCUGGGAAAGAAGGACAGACAACGGGAUUUCCCAGCGAAAAUGGGAAGUUUUGACAAAGACCACAGCAAACGUCACCCAGCUUGCGAAGAUUGUAAUAAAUCGAUUAGAAGAAGACGGCCUGCCGUUUCCUUAAACUUGGACACAGGCAUUUAUACCUUUGGUCAUUAUGAGCCAGUAAUUUCCAGAAGUUAUGUCAUACUGUGAGAAGCCUCCAUUUUACUAAUGAUUUCCAAUGGUGCAAAAAUGUAUAUAUUAAAAAUGUAAAUGCAGUAUUACUGUCAACACAUAUUUGCAUCAGCCUUUGAUAGUAGACUAAUAUAACUAAUAUAGAAACUUACAUCAUGUGUUGACUUUAUUAUAACACUUACUGUAUAUAAGGCUUUUAAUUUUUUGCGGCUCCAGACAAUUUUAAUUUUUUUUUAUUUUUGGUCCAAUAUGGCUCCUUCAACAUUUUGGGUUGCCCACCCCUGGCUUAGCCGCUUGUCAGCCAGGAAAGAAUCGGGGAAAUUAUUGUUAUUAUUCUUUGUAUUGUUCCCACACUAACAUUGCUUUUUGGUGUCACUUUUGAUAUGGUUUUGUCACGGUUUACUAGCUUUCUAUUGCGACUUUUUUUUUUUUCUUAGCAUCUGAUCAAGCCAAGAAAAAGUGACUUUCUUAGUCUUUUUUUAAGUGUGAACGGUGGAGAAGUCCCCGGGAGGUGAUCUAGUGAUCACUUCCUAAGGAUCCUUGAUGCUGAGGAAUAUUCAUCCAUCUUGCUAUGGUCUGGAUCGUCUGCUGAUCCUGAGCCAGUGCAGGAUGGAUGGAUAUAUACAAUAUCUGGGUACUUUUUCCUAAUAAUGUCUAUAA